AUGCAAGUCGAGCGGCAGCGACUUAACUGAACCUUCGGGGAACGUUAAGGGCGGCGAGCGGCGGACGGGUGAGUAAUGCCUGGGAAUAUGCCCUGAUGUGGGGGAUAACUAUUGGAAACGAUAGCUAAUACCGCAUAAUCUCUUCGGAGCAAAGAGGGGGGCCUUCGGGCCUCUCGCGUCAGGAUUAGCCCAGGUGGGAUUAGCUUGUUGGUGAGGUAAUGGCUCACCAAGGCAACGAUCCCUAGCUGGUCUGAGAGGAUGAUCAGCCACACUGGAACUGAGACACGGUCCAGACUCCUACGGGAGGCGGCAGUGGGGAAUAUUGCACAAUGGGGGAAACCCUGAUGCAGCCAUGCCGCGUGUGUGAAGAAGGCCUUCGGGUUGUAAAGCACUUUCAGUAGGGAGGAAGGUAGUGUAGUUAACACCUGCAUUAUUUGACGUUACCUACAGAAGAAGCACCGGCUAACUCCGUGCCAGCAGCCGCGGUAAUACGGAGGGUGCGAGCGUUAAUCGGAAUUACUGGGCGUAAAGCGCAUGCAGGCGGCCUGUUAAGUCAGAUGUGAAAGCCCGGGGCUUAACCUCGGAAUUGCAUUUGAAACUGGCAGGCUAGAGUCUUGUAAGGGGGGG
rnacentral:rRNA from 1 species